CAUCGGGAGUAGCAAUACUGCCGGCGACCGGCGCAAGGGUGCGUAACGCGUGAGCAACAUGCCCGUAUCAGGGGGGAUAAUCCAUGGAAACGUGGUCUAAUACCCCAUAGUAAUUAUGUAAGGCAUCUUAUAUAAUUUAAAGCUUUGGUGGAUACGGAUUGGCUCGCGUGACAUUAGCUGGAUGGUAAGGUAACGGCUUACCAUGGCUACGAUGUCUAGGGGUUCUGAGAGGAAGGUCCCCCACACUGGAACUGAGACACGGUCCAGACUCCUACGGGAGGCAGCAGUGAGGAAUAUUGGACAAUGGAUGGAAAUCUGAUCCAGCCAUGCCGCGUGCAAGGGAAGACCGGCCCUAUGGGUUGUAAACUGCUUUUGUAUGGGAGCAAUAAGGGCUACGUGUAGUCCGAUGAGAGUACCAUACGAAUAAGCACCGGCUAACUCCGUGCCAGCCGCAGC
rnacentral:rRNA from 1 species